AUGCUGUGCCACGUUAGCCAGCUAACACGUUGGCUGGCUAGAAGAAACCAGCCAGCUCGCUGGCGCUCGCUUCCAGCCUUUUCUUUCGGUCGCUCGCUCGCAGCCUUUUCUUUUUUCGCUCGCUCGCUCGCAGCCUUAUCUCCUCUGUUUUCUUUUCUCUUCUGCGAGGCUCUCGAUGAAACAUCCCGACCUCGCCCCCAUCCAGACACCGAGCUCUCACUGGAUGUACCGUCGUUGCCGCUUGAGCCCACACACCGUCGCCGGGAUUUCGCCCCGCCUCCUCCUCCCCCUCCCCCACCAAGCUCGAGAGCAGCGGCAGGAUCACCCCGUCCUUUCCCUCCGCGCGGGAGGUUCUGGCAGAGCAUCGGCCGGGGCGGCGGCGGUCUUCUCUUCGGCACAUAG
rnacentral:rRNA from 1 species